rnacentral:rRNA from 1 species
GAUGAACGCUGGCGGCGUGCCUAAUACAUGCAAGUCGAGCGAACGGACGAGAAGCUUGCUUCUCUGAUGUUAGCGGCGGACGGGUGAGUAACACGUGGAUAACCUACCUAUAAGACUGGGAUAACUUCGGGAAACCGGAGCUAAUACCGGAUAAUAUUUUGAACCGCAUGGUUGAAAAGUGAAAGACGGUCUUGCUGUCACUUAUACAUGGAUCCGCGCUGCAUUAGCUAGUGGGUAAGGUAACGGCUUACCAAGGCAACGAUGCAUAGCCGACCUGAGAGGGUGAUCGGCCACACUGGAACUGAGACACGGUCCAGACUCCUACGGGAGGCAGCAGUAGGGAAUCUUCCGCAAAGGGCGAAAGCCUGACGGAGCAACGCCGCGUGAGUGAUGAAGGUCUUCGGAUCGUAAAACUCUGUUAUUAGGGAAGAACAUAUGUGUAAGUAACUGUGCACAGCUUGACGGUACCUAAUCAGAAAGCCCCGGCUAACUACGUG